GUCAACAGAAACAGCUUGUGCAGAGCAGUGAAUUUACAAAUGUGAAUCAAGCUCUACUUUGCAUCAUGUUUGGAACUAAGAGGCACUGAGAAUGCCUUGUCCCACUUGAACCACAUGCGGAUUCUGGAUUCUCCUGCUUGGAGUUAAUGGAUGUAACCUGGCAGCAACCAAUCUAUAUGUCUUCUGUAAAUGAUCCUCCAAGGGUUUACCUGUAGCAGUGCUGCCAUGCUCCCAGGAAUAAUCACAAGAUUAAAGAAAAAGUCCCAGUCGGUGGAUAUUAGUGGACCAGGAUGCAACCCAGUGGCAGCUGAAGCUCCUGCUUCUCAGCCUGGUAAACCUUUGCUUGCCACUAAAACAACUUCUGAGGAGGAACAGAAAAACACCACCAAUACCCAAAGGCGCAAUCCACGGAGGAGUGAGUUGAAGAGAUAUUACACCAUUGACACUGGCCAGAAGAAAGAUGGGCGACGAAUGUCUUUUCAAAAGCCUAAAGGGACGAUUGAAUAUUCUGUGGAAUCGAGAGAUACUUUAAACAGUAUUGCCUUGAAAUUUGAUACAACACCCAAUGAACUGGUUCAAUUAAAUAAGCUUUUCUCCAGAGCAGUCGUUCCUGGACAGAUUUUGUAUGUUCCUGACCCAGACUACAUAUCUAGUGUGGACAGCUCCCCCUCUCUAAGCCCUAUAAGUCCCCUAUCACCUACAUCUUCAGAAGCAGAGUUUGACAAGGCUACAGUAAAUGAUCCAGAUGGAGUCCAACAGAAAGAAUCAGUUGCUUCACCAGCACAUCCGUGUAUUCGGACUACAAGAGUGGUAUCAUCUACCUCGGAAGAGGAAGAAGCGUUUACGGAAAAGUUCCUGAAAAUUAACUGCAAGUACAUCACCAGUGGCAAGGGUACAGUCAAUGGUGUGCUGCUAGUGACGCCAAAUAAUAUAAUGUUUGAUCCUCAUAAAAUGGACCCUCUUGUCCAAGAGAAUGGCUGUGAAGAGUAUGGCAUCAUGUGUCCCAUGGAAGAAGUGAUGUCAGCUGCUCUGUAUAAGGAAAUUACGGACAGCAAAAUUAAGGAUUCACUAAGCAUAGAUGUAGAACAGCUGUCUGUAAGGGAACUUUGCCAUUCCAAGAAAGCUGCGAAGAGCAAUACAGAAGAAAUGGAUUCCAGAAUUCGUGAUACAGGCAAUGACAGCGCUAGCACUGCUCCAAGGAGUACAGAGGAGUCUCUUUCAGAAGACGUGUUCACAGAAUCCGAACUUUCUCCAAUACGUGAGGAACUUGUUUCUUCAGAUGAGCUUCGACAAGACAAAUCUUCAGGCGCAUCAUCAGAAUCUGUUCAAACAGUAAACCAAACUAGUGCAGAAUGUUUAACAACCAUUUUGGACUCGAAACAAGCUGACAGUGACUUAAAAUCCAGUGCUGAAAUGGUUGUAAAUGUUAAGCAGUUAGGUACCCAUGGCGUACGUUCAGAAAGUGCAGAGAUGUUGGUAAAGGAGACCCAAGAAUCUAGUGAAAGCAUGGAAAACAUUCUCCAGCAGUCUUUGCAAGGAUCUCAUGUUAGUGAAGAACAUGACCAAGAGAAACCAGUGGGCAAAGAUCAAGACAUCACACUAGGAGAAGAGCCGGAAAUAGAAAGCAAGAUGGGAGAGGAAUGUUCACAUUGUGAAAGUACCACAGACUCUCAAAAGAUAGAGCUGACUAGGAAGGGAAACACGGAGAAAGAGCAAGCUCAAGACUCUGAGGCAGAAGUUGAGGAACUUCGCAAACUCUGGAAGACACAUACUAUGCAACAAACCAAACAACAAAGAGAAAAUAUGCAGCAGGAUUCACAAAAAGAACUUAGUCAGAAAACUAUGAUUUUAGGAGAUGGACAAUCAGAAGGUUCUUCCCUUGUGAAAGAAAAACGAAGACAUCGAUCUCACAAGUUUUUGUGUCUCAAGGUUGGGAAACCUAUGAGAAAAACAUUUGUCUCACAAGCAAGUGCAUCAAUGCAGCAGUAUGCUCAGAGGGAUAAAAAACAUGAAUACUGGUUUGCUGUUCCUCAAGAAAGGACAGAUCACCUGUAUGUCUUCUUCAUCCAGUGGAGUCCAGAGCUAUACGCAGAAGAUACUGGAGAAUCUCUUCGAGAGCCUGGAUUUAUAGUUGUAAAAAAGAAGGAAGAACCUGAAACUAGUGAAGAGUCUACUACUGAAGAUCCUGCUAAAGAGUGGGAGGUAGUAUCAGUGGCUGAGUAUCACCGCAGGAUCGAUGCUCUUAAUAGUGAAGAACUGCGCACACUCUGCAGACGUCUCCAGAUAACAACAAGAGAAGAUAUAAAUUCAAAACAAGCAACAAACAUCAAAACAGACCUGGAGCCUGAGGCAUUCCGGCCAAAUCUUAGCGACCCCAGUGAAUUACUUCAGCCAGAGCAAAUAGAAAAGCUCACAAAGUCGCUUCCACCACGGACCAUUGGAUAUCCAUGGACUCUUGCGUACAGUACUGCAAAGCAUGGCAUGAGUUUGAAGACUCUGUAUCGAACUAUGCUGGGAUUAGAUACACCUGUGUUGUUGGUUAUCAAGGACAGUGAUGGACAGGAAGCAUGGGCUCAUAUCACCUCAUAUCAUUCAGGGGGGCUGAAAACUGUAAAUAAAGGAUUUUUGGUGCACUGGCAUCUGAACCAUUUAAAGUGAGUGACGGAUUUUAUGGCACUGGGGAGACCUUUCUGUUCACUUUUUCUCCAGAUUUUGAGGUUUUCAAAUGGACAGGAGACAACAUGUUCUUCAUUAAAGGCGACAUGGAUUCCCUUGCUUUUGGCGGAGGAGGUGGGGAAUUCGCUCUUUGGCUUGAUGGGGAUCUCUACCAUGGAAGAAGUCAUUCAUGUAAAACAUUUGGGAAUCAUACGCUUUCUAAGAAAGAAGACUUCAUUAUUCAAGACAUAGAAAUUUGGGCUUUUGAAUGAGUUGUAAAUGAGAACUGUUUCUACAGGGUAUUGUCCCAAACCUGAAAUUAAUCAAUGCAGCUUGAAAUCCCUAUGAGCAAUAUAAUGCACCAGUUUACCUUUUUUGGUGGUUUGUAGUUGGUUUUUUUUUUUUUUUUUUUUUUUUAAGUUUAGUUUUCAGCAUGGCCAUUUAGUUAUUUUGUUGUAGUGGACUUUUUUUCAUGCUUCCUUGUCUUUAGUACACUGUCUUACAUUUCUAAGCUAUAAAAACUGAAAAAUAUACAAACUGUGGACUAAAAAAGAACAUCAGUUACUUUGAUCCUUCCAGUCUAUAAAACUUCAUAAUCCUUUUUGCAGUUGCCUCCCAGGUUUUCCCCACACAUCUUUCUGUAAUCCUGCUGGGGGCUGCUUCAUUGAAUAUAGGCUAUUAUUUUUGUAUUUAAAUUUUAUCUGUGAAUGAAGUUGCCCUCUGUGAUGCUAUGUAAGUAGAAAGCUGUGUGUGGGUACCUGGAAGUAAUACUGCAGUGAUCGAUCUGGACCAACGAUGGAUUUGUUGUUACGGUGCCACAGGUGAGAAGCCAGCAUUCCUUCUUUUACACAUACUAUACACUUAUGGUUGAGUUAAAAGAUAUCCAAAGUCAGCAGUGCCACUUGUCUUGAUUUUUUUUUUUUGUAUUUUUUGUUUGUUUUUUGUUUUUUCACAUUAACAAAGUGAGUUAAACAAUGUGUUUUAGCUGCAUGAUGACUGUAUUAGCAUUUUGCACAUGCUGUUAAUGAUCUGCAGGUUUGGGACAAUUACUGACUAUAUUGAGCUACAUGGCAAAGAUUUACAAAAUAACAAGGGAAUAUAAAGAAUGUAAUAGUUCCACAAAACAAAAAGGCUAAGGCAAGUGAAACUCAAGACAAUUUGUAGCUACGGUAGGGCAUUAAAGUACAAAGAUUAUGAAACAAAUGCAUCUUUCAACGUAGUGUCAGAUAUAUACUGUUAUACUGUUGUAGCCGUGUAGCACAUCAACUCCAAGAAUAUAGCUUAUUCCUGUCCAAAGAAAAAAUAAUUGUGAUGUUUUUUUUGAGUGGGUCUAUGUUGUACAUUUACAGUUAGCACCAGCUCAGAUUAAAAUGAGACAAUGUACUAUAGGUAGACAAUAUUGUAAUUCAGUAGACUUGUGGAAUAUGCAAACUUACUGUCAUGUGACCUCGAAAAAUGACAGAUUAGUACACAGUUCCAGUAGCUCUUGUCCACUUUUGUAGGAAAAUUGAUAAGCCAUUGUGGCAAUAACAGCUCAACAAAAUUGUUUGUUUCAAAGCUUUUAUUCUAUGUUCUGCAAAAAAGGCAAAAAAGAAAAAAAAAAAAAAAAGAAAAAAUUUGCUGUUAAGUGUGACAGUGACUGACUUUGUGCUGAAAUUUCAGCUAUUUCAGAUAAACAUUGUAUAUUAUCUUGUAAAUUAAUGUUUAAAGUAGUUUUGUUAUUAUAGAAAAGUGUUGAUUGACGGGUUGCUUAUAGCACUUUAAAUUAUUCUAGAAAUGGAAUAAAGGCCAAAUGAGUUUGGCUUAAGUAGAUGUAGUUGUAUAUUUCAAAAUAUUUAGAUAUUUGGAAAGUUUUAAAAACUUAUUUGAAGACAGUUUACUGCUAUGGUAAUGAGAAAGGGCAGAUGGUUCAUCUUAUAAUAUGCUAAUGCUCUAUAUGAAUAGAAAUACAGGGCUUUGUUUCCUGUCUCUGUGUAUAGCUCUUUAGCCUUAUUAGAACUUAGUACAAUGUGUAGACUAAAUGUUUACAAAAUAAUGAGGUGUAAAUAAACUAAAAUGGCUUUUCUCCCUUUGGUCUUCCACAGCAGUAUUAUUGUCUUUGUGGAGUUAAGACUGAUUAUUGCAAAAAGAGAAUCCUGUAAUGGAUUUUAAAUACUCUUAAGGUCACAGUGAUGUAUAGCAAAUAAAUCUAAAUAUAUGUAAAAAUAAA